UUGCUUCGGCAGUACAUAUACUAAAAUUGGAACGAUACAGAGAAUAUUUGAAUGGCUCCUACGCAAGAAUGAUACUCAAAACCACGAAGCAUUUCUCAUUUUU